UGGUUCUCGCAUCGAUGAAGAACGCAGCGAAAUGCGAUAAGUAAUGUGAAUUGCAGAAUUCAGUGAAUCAUCGAAUCUUUGAACGCACAUUGCGCCCCCUGGUAUUCCGGCGGGCAUGCCUAUUUGAGCGUCAUUUCUAUCAUCAAGCUCCGCUUGGUAUUGGGCGGUAGGCCCCCUCCACCGGGGGGCCUCCCCCGAAGACUAGCGGCGGAUCGGCCGGGGGUCCCAGCGCAGUGACUUAAUUCUCGCUGAUUGGAUCCCCGGGCGGCUCCUGCCGGAACAAACCCCAUUUUCUAUCGAUUGACCUCAGAUUAGGUAGGGAUACCCGCUGA
rnacentral:misc_RNA from 1 species